ACUAAGGUUUUUCCCUCUGCUUUGGAAGCUUCGGGCUGCUUGCUCUUCUUGGCCGUCAAAGUAUACUUUACACCAUCUUUCACCAGCUUAUACACAUUUUCACGCCCCAAAUAUUGUACUUGCACAUCGUACUGCCAUGGCCUCUCAAACAAUAGAUCACAUACAUCAAGGUCGUCUACUGUGUCACAAUAAACCUCAUCCCUGUACUAUC
rnacentral:lncRNA from 1 species